AUUGAACGCUGGCGGCAGGCCUAACACAUGCAAGUCGAGCGGAGCGGCGGACGGGUGCGUAAUGCCUAGGAAUCUGCCUGGUAGUGGGGGAUAACGUCAGGUAACGGGCGCUAAUACCGCAUACUAUCAGAUGAGCCUAGGUCGGAUUAGCUAGUUGGGGGGGUAAAGGCCUACCAAGGCGACGCUCCGUAACUGGACUGAGAGGAUGAUCAGUCACACGGAAACUGGGUCACGGGCCAGACGCCUAGGGGAGGAAGAAGGGGGGAAUAUGGGACAAUGGGCGAAAGCCUGAUCCUGCCAUGCCGCGUGGGUGAAGAAGGUCUUCGGAUUGUAAAGCACUUUAAGUUGGGAGGCGUUACCAACAGAAUAAGCACCGGCUAACUUCGUGCCAGCAGCCGCGGAAAUU
rnacentral:rRNA from 1 species